GAUCGACAUGGCAUAGGUUGGAAUGGCCUGCACCAUACUCUUAAUCAAGACCUCCUUUCCUGCCUUGCUGGUGUAGCACUUCCUGCACGAUUAGGAUGUUAUCCUGUAUCUGUCUCCCCUGUACGAAGUCACUCUGUUCAGGGUUUUUCACUUUGGGAAUCAAGGCGAUAUAUGUUUGGUUUAGAUGAGGAUCCAAAACACCUGUGUUGAAGAAGCUCUGUA